CUUCCUUUCACUGUCUUUUAGCUGAUGACAGUAUCCUAAUGUGUUCACUGAUCCCUUUCUCUGUCUGUUAGGUGGUGACAGUAUCCUAAUGUGUUCACUGAUCCCUUUCUCUGUCUGUUAGCUGAUGACAGUAUCCUAAUGUGUUCACUGAUCCCUUUCUCUGUCUGUUAGCUGAUGACAGUAUCCUAAUGUGUUCACUGCUUCCUUUCUCUGUCUGUUAGCUGAUGACAGUAUCCUAAUGUGUUCGCUGCUUCCUUUCUCUGUCUGUUAGGUGGUGACAAUAUCCUAAUGUGUUCACUGAUCCCUUUCUCUGUCUGUUAGCUGAUGACAGUAUCCUAAUGUGUUCACUGAUCCCUUUCUCUGUCUGUUAGGUGGUGACAGUAUCCUAAUGUGUUCACUGAUCCCUUUCUCUGUCUGUUAGGUGGUGACAGUAUCCUAAUGUGUUCACUGAUCCCUUUCUCUGUCUGUUAGCUGGUGACAGUAUCCUAAUGUGUUCACUGAUCCCUUUCUCUGUCUGUUAGGUGGUGACAGUAUCCUAAUGUGUUCACUGAUCCCUUUCUCUGUAUGUUAGGUGGUGACAGUAUCCUAAUGUGUUCACUGAUCCCUUUCUCUGUCUGUUAGCUGGUGACAGUAUCCUAAUGCUAAUGUUUUCACUGAUUCCUCUCUGCCUGUUAGCUGGUGACAGUAUCCUAAUGCUAAUGUGUUCACUGAUUCCUCUCUCUGUCUGUUAGGUGAUGACAGUAUCCUAAUGCUAAUGUGUUCACUGAUUCCUCUCUGGC
ensembl:lncRNA